UACGGACGGUGCGAGCGUUGUUCGGAAUGACUGGGCGUAAAGCGCACGUAGGCGGUUUUGUAAGUCGGAUGUGAAAGCCCCAGGCUCAACCUGGGAAUAGCAUCCGAAACUACUAAACUUGAAUGCUUAAGAGGUUGGUGGAAUUCCUGGUGUAGGAGUGAAAUCCGUAGAUAUCAGGAGGAACAUCGGAGGCGAAGGCGGCCAACUGGUGAUGCAUUGACGCUGAGGUGCGAAAGCGUGGGGAGCAAACAGG
rnacentral:rRNA from 1 species